UCUUAGGCGAUCCCUGUGAAAGGAUACUUCGACCCCCAAAGGGGUCGUGAUCCAUGGGUUGAGAACCGCUGGUCUAGGAUCUACUGGUCAGGAACUGGAAAGGAGAAAAACAAGAACUCAGUUAAAAAUCCAGCAGGGACACCAGAAGUCACCACCGAAAAGCUCUGAGGCCCCUGGGGCUCCUUCACGUGAUGCUCUUCGCUGUCACGGUUUCAAGGUCAAACUCUGAUGGAGCACAGCAUAGAACAUGCCGUUUCUGAUGUGACAGUCCUCCUGGAUUCAGAAUGGGUGGCAGCAGGUACUUUGCAUUGGAAACAAGGGCUCAGAUGUGGAAACUGCCUGGCAAGAAAGGGCUUACACAAGAAUUUGAAGCUAGGAACUCCAAAGCCCAUGACUUCCCCACAACCAAAUGUGAGAGGACUGGUGAAGAGGAUGGGGUGAGGGCCACCUCGCUGCCAGGCCUCUUUUAUUGAUUGAUUGAUGAUUUUAGUGUGUAUCCAGGUUUGAGAGUGUUAUCUGAAAGCAGGGAAAUGGACACAGUGACCUUCAAAACAGAGGUCAUCAGUUAAACAUCUAACUCCAAGAGAGGGGACCUUCCAAACUUUUCUUUAUGACGUACCCAGAAAAGAAGAGAGGAAUGAAAAUGUACCCUUCAGGGUCCAACAAGCAGAAUCCGAAGCAGCCCACUCAAGCUUACAUCUCACGUUUGAUAUAAAAAUAUUAUGUGAAUUUUGCAUUUUGUCCCAUAUAAAUAAAAAAUUCAUAUUUAUUUCAA